CUCACCCUUGAGCACGCCACCUCUCAUCCAUUUUCUCUCAAGCUUCUUCAUCAAAUUUUAAAGAGAAAUCAUAGGGUUUAGCUUAAAUUUUUGUUGAUUUUCAAUCCUAAAGCAUCCAAAGGUCCAAGAGGAAAAGAAUUUUAGCAAAGGAAGCUUGAAUCAUUAGUGUUGUACAAAUUCAAGCUAGUUAUUUUGCAGAUUUAUAGAGCAUAUUUUCAGAGGGCUGUUGCGAUGGGGAGCUGCAUUAGCUAGUGGCGACAGAGAUGCAGAAGUUUUCCACAUGUACACCGCUAUCAAUGAGCAGCCUCAUAAUAGAAAACAGAAUUAGCUAAUGCAGCCUCAUAGUCUGCUAGAAGUGCAUGUGGAUGAGGACUAUACCUAGAAAGAAUUUCAGAAUACGCUCACACGGUAUUAGAUUGUAGUGGUCGGGAGACGUCAAGCUGGCGAAAGGAUUGCGCACACUGUCUUAGUGAAGAAUUUUAAUGUGGAUUGAUAGAUGUGAGAAAUAGUCUUUGUGUAAUAGUAUGUUAUAACUGGAAUAAGGAUAAAAAAUUUAGACAAACCCCCUUUUUAAGCUAGCAAUUCUCUGGAUUCUCUCAAUAAGAUAUUUGGUGAAAACUUGCCUAGUGAGACAUUACACAACCACACCAUCCAACCCUCCAACCCUUCCACCUUCCUGGCAUACUUCCCCUUCAUUGGUGGACUUAAGUAAUAGAAGGUCUAUCACAAUGACCCUACUAUUUAUCCAACUUUCAAUCCAAUAUAGGACUAAACAACAUCUCCCAAUGAGAUUACUUACAAAGAAGUUCCUUGUCAA